rnacentral:rRNA from 1 species
UACGUAGGGGGCAAGCGUUGUCCGGAAUUAUUGGGCGUAAAGCGCGCGCAGGCGGUUCAUUAAGUUGGGUGUUUAAUCCCGGGGCUCAACCCCGGUUCGCAUCCGAAACUGGUGGACUUGAGUGUAAGAGAGGAAAGUGGAAUUCCACGUGUAGCGGUGGAAAUGCGUAGAGAUGUGGAGGAACACCAGUGGCGAAGGCGACUUCUGGCUUAUAACUGACGCUGA